rnacentral:lncRNA from 1 species
CUUUUGGCCUCUCUAUCCUUUUGCUUAGGGGUGGCAAAAUGGAUGGAUUGGAUGAAUAUGGAUUGGAUCGUUAAUGGAUGGAUCAAAACAAUCCAUUAUCCAUUAACAAUCCACUAAAAGUUUUUAAAAAAUAUCCAAUCCAAUCCAGCCAUUAAGAAUAAAAAUUCAUCCAAUCCAUCCAUUAUCAUAUUUUUAGUGGAUGGAUAUCCAUCCAUCCAUCUCUUUUUCCUUUAAAAUUUUUCUUUUUUGAAAAAAAUCACUUUUUUUUUAAUAAAAC